UAAGUGGAGCAGCAGGCCACAUCAUUGUUGGCUAAGCGACCACAGUGAAUGCAGAUGAGACCAGCAAGGGCUAAUGUGUCGUGUGUCAUCUUGCAGAUGCCCCAAACACUGUUAGGUCUACUGCGUAUUCAGCGUACGUUCCUGCAUUAGACUCUUUCGUCGAUUCAUGCCACGCAGGAUAUGCUGCAUACUUGUCUGAUUGUAAUAUUCAACAGCUGAGCUCAGAAAGCGCUGGGCAGCCAACUGUAACAGUGCAGCAGCGACAUUCCACUCAGGGAAAGGACAGAGGGAGCACUUCAAACUUUCACAGUGAGGAAGCAUCAGCAUUUCAAAAUGAGGUCUUGAGGAUUCUUCACACCAUGAAAAUCGCACUGGACGAUCACUCGUCGCAGCUAAAUUGUCUCUUCUCUAUCCCUGAGCAACACUUCAGUGACAUGAACGCAGUGAUUUCGAGCCAUUCGCUGAUCUGGAGCAGUUCUUGGAAUUUGACCAAUCGCUAAGUGAUGAAAAUGAGAUGAUAAAGCUGAUGACAACAUUGCAGAAGCAUGAUGGAACAAACACAAGAGAUGCUACACAAAGGGUUUCGCGUGCAACAAUGACUGACAGAGUAGCCACUUCGUUCAGCUGCCAAAGUGGCAAGAGGAAAAUGAAGUUUUGUGACAUCUUAUGCUGCGAUGCCAUAUUUCGUGAGUUUGUUUUUGGGGAAAUCCUGUUAUGUCAGUUAAAACUACUCCC